UAUUGCACAAUGGGGGGAACCCUGAUGCAGCGACGCCGCGUGAGUGAAGAAGUAUUUCGGUAUGUAAAGCUCUAUCAGCAGGGAAGAAAAUGACGGUACCUGAAUAAGAAGCCCCGGCUAACUACGUUCCAGCAGCCGCGGUAAUACGUAGGGGGCAAGCGUUAUCCGGAUUUACUGGGUGUAAAGGGAGCGUAGACGGUUAUGCAAGUCUGGAGUGAAAGCCCGGGGCUCAACCCCGGGACUGCUUUUGAAACUGUUGAACUAGAUUGCAGGAGAGGUAAGUGGAAUUCCUAGUGUAGCGGUGAAAUGCGUAGAUAUUAGGAGGAACACCAGUGGCGAAGGCGGCUUACUGGACUGUAAAUGACGCUGAGGCUCGAAAGCGUGGGGAGCAAACAGG
rnacentral:rRNA from 1 species